GUAGUGUUGUCUCUCUUUAUGUAGUGUUGUGGUGUCUCUCUUUAUGUAGUGUUGUGUUGUCUCUCUUUAUGUAGUGUUGUGUGUUGUGUUGUCUCUCUUUAUGUAGUGUUGUGGUGUCUCUCUUUAUGUAGUGGUGUCUCUCUUUAUGUAGUGUUGUGUUGUCUCUCUUUAUGUAGUGUUGUCUCUCUUUAUGUAGUGUUGUGUUGUCUCUCUUUAUGUAGUGUUGUGGUGUCUCUCUUUAUGUAGUGUUGUGGUGUCUCUCUUUAUGUAGUGUUGUGUUGUCUCUUUAUGUUGUGUUGUCUCUCUUUAUGUUGUGUUGUGGUGUCUCUCUUUAUGUAGUGUUGUGGUGACUCUCUUUAUGUAGUGUUGUGGUGUCUCUUUAUGUAGUGUUGUCUCUCUUUAUGUAGUGUUGUGGUGUCUCUUUAUGUAGUGUUGUCUCUCUUUAUGUAGUGUUGUGGUGUCUCUCUUUCUGUACUGUUGUGUUGUCUCUCCUGUCGUGUUUUGUCCUAUUUACAUAUAUAUUGUAUUUAUUUUUAAUCCCAGCCCCCGUCCCCCGC
ensembl:lncRNA